UACGAAGGGGGCUAGCGUUGUUCGGAAUUACUGGGCGUAAAGCGCGCGCAGGCGGCUAUCCAAGUCAGUGGUGAAAGCCCCGGAGCUCAACUCCGGAACUGCCAUUGAAACUGUUUAGCUUGAGGAUGAGAGAGGUGAGUGGAAUUCCCAGUGUAGAGGUGAAAUUCGUAGAUAUUGGGAAGAACACCGGUGGCGAAGGCGGCUCACUGGCUCAUUACUGACGCUCAGGCGCGAUAGCGUGGGGAUCAAACAGG
rnacentral:rRNA from 1 species